rnacentral:lncRNA from 1 species
UAAAAAUGAAUAAUGUGGACAGAAAAUUAGGUGCUAAUUUUGGCUGGGACUUGAGAUUGGUGGUAAAAUGUGCCGUUGGGAGUGGGAAUCCAGCUGUUUAUAGGACCGUUACUGCCAUGUACGAGCUGUUAAAGUAUUGAUGCUAAAUGCAAGUGGAUUUUUGUUAAUGUAGUACUCCCUCCGUCCCUAAAUACUUUUCCUGUUUGUACUUUUCACGUUUGCCAACACACACUUUUGAUCGUUAAUAUCUUUCAUUUCGUAGUAACAUUAAAUAUAAAAACUUCACCGUAUUAAAAUACUCGUGAAUACGAAUCUAACAAGAUCACUCAUGACUAUAUUUAGUUUUAUAGAUUAGAUGUAAGUUAAUAAUUUGUCUCAUGUUAUGAACAGUACCGACAUUACAAAUAGGAAAAGAAAAAAGAUACGGAGGAAGUACAGUACUAUCAACUUUCCUUUUCACCAGACCACUGCUGCUUGUACAGUUGUACUCAUCAGA